AGCCGGGCGGUGAGGACAGAGCGAACUAUUCUUUCGCCUUUUACUAAAGAAUACCGUGUGCACAUUGCAUUCACCUGCAUACGCCUAUUUUUGGAGGGAUUUCACUUAGGUGAGAA